AGACUCACUGCAAGUGUUCCAUGGAACAAGAAGAGCGGCAUGAAGGAGAGCGAGACUGCUUCUUCCUGGGUCUCCUUUCCCCUGGGAACAUAUGGAGAGAGAGAGAGAGAGAGACCCGGGCUCAUGUCAAAACCUGUCACCGCUGCCCAAGCUGGAGUCUGUCAGACUAGUCUUCUGCUAGGCCUGUUUAGCCAGCCGCUGGAACACUGAAUGACUCCACACAGCCUCUCAGAGUUCUCUCUCUCUCGCACACUCACUCACCCUGUCAACUUGUCAGCCUCUGCCACUGCUUUUGCCUUACCCAGGGAAGGUGGGAGGAGACACUGUCUUACACACUGUCUUCUGAAAUAUUAUUCAGACUAAAUUAUGAUUUACUCCUGAUUGAUUUAAAAUAAAACUUGUUAAAAAGUAUUAUAUAUUAAGAUGUUAUCAUACUUUUAUUGAUUGUUAUACUUAUGCACCUGAUUACCUAAUAGUGUGGCCUAUUAUGAACACCAGAGAUAUGGAGGGAUAUCUUUAUAUCCUGUUGCAGCAGGGAGGAGAACACAGUUUAAAAUGCAAAGAUCACUAUGCACAUGAGCAGAGAGAGUAAGAGAGUAAGCUAUCCUGAGAAGUGUGUGUUGAUGGCUCUGCUCUGAUGAUGAUGAUGGAUGUCAGUGGAUGGGCCUCAGCUCGGACUGUCAGCAGUUGGCUACGGCAGCUCAGUGACAUUUGCUCCCAGAAUGUGUUUUGAUU
ensembl:lncRNA